rnacentral:rRNA from 1 species
CAGCAGCCACGGGAAUACGAAGGGGGCUAGCGUUGUUCGGAUUUACUGGGCGUAAAGCGCACGUAGGCGGACUUUUAAGUCAGGGGUGAAAUCCCGGGGCUCAACCCCGGAACUGCCUUUGAUACUGGAAGUCUUGAGUAUGGUAGAGGUGAGUGGAAUUCCGAGUGUAGAGGUGAAAUUCGUAGAUAUUCGGAGGAACACCAGUGGCGAAGGCGGCUCACUGGACCAUUACUGACGCUGAGGUGCGAAAGCGUGGGGAGCAAACAGGAUUAGAUACCCCGGUAGUCCCUGUCUCUUAUAC